UUCUUCCGUUUAAGAAACGUUUUGCAACCGAAUCGGCGUAUUGAAUUCGCACUAGGAUUACACUUCAGCCAUUCGACAAUUUUUUACGAUUUUCGCGGAAGUAUAGCGCCUGUGUUGUGGACAAAAUGAUCGGGGAUCUCUUGAUAUUCGGGACCUUACUCAUGAACACUGGUGCUGUGUAAACUUCAAACUCUCAUCAAGACAAGACAAUCAACACUGUUCUCUAUUACAGUAAGAAAAAGGAGUCACAAGGACAAUUUGGAGAUGAACCUCGUGGACCAACUACAGGUGUGUGAUGCAUUGUGGUGCAUUAAAAAACCUCACCUCAGGAAACUUCACAGAGUGACUAUUCAUGAAAAUGAAAGUAAGGAUACUCAAGAGGUGACAACAUCAGAGAGUUCCUCCAGAGUCUACGCUACUUCCGGAUUUUCAUUGCCUUAUGGAACAUAUUCAUGAUGUUUUGCAUGAUUCUGACCUUACUCAUGAACACUGGUGCUGUGUAAACUUCAAACUUAAGAAAAAGGAGUCACAAGGACAAUUUGGAGAUGAACCUCGUGGACCAACUACAGGUGACAACAUCAGAGAGUUCCUCCAGAGUCUACGCUACUUCCGGAUUUUCAUUGCCUUAUGGAACAUAUUCAUGAUGUUUUGCAUGAUUCUGACCUUACUCAUGAACACUGGUGCUGUGUAAACUUCAAACUUAAGAAAAAGGAGUCACAAGGACAAUUUGGAGAUGAACCUCGUGGACCAACUACAGGUGACAACAUCAGAGAGUUCCUCCAGAGUCUACGCUACUUCCGGAUUUUCAUUGCCUUAUGGAACAUAUUCAUGAUGUUUUGCAUGAUUCUGACCUUACUCAUGAACACUGGUGCUGUGUAAACUUCAAACUUAAGAAAAAGGAGUCACAAGGACAAUUUGGAGAUGAACCUCGUGGACCAACUACAGGUGACAACAUCAGAGAGUUCCUCCAGAGUCUACGCUACUUCCGGAUUUUCAUUGCCUUAUGGAACAUAUUCAUGAUGUUUUGCAUGAUUCUGACCUUACUCAUGAACACUGGUGCUGUGUAAACUUCAAACUUAAGAAAAAGGAGUCACAAGGACAAUUUGGAGAUGAACCUCGUGGACCAACUACAGGUGACAACAUCAGAGAGUUCCUCCAGAGUCUACGCUACUUCCGGAUUUUCAUUGCCUUAUGGAACAUAUUCAUGAUGUUUUGCAUGAUUCUGACCUUACUCAUGAACACUGGUGCUGUGUAAACUUCAAACUUAAGAAAAAGGAGUCACAAGGACAAUUUGGAGAUGAACCUCGUGGACCAACUACAGGUGACAACAUCAGAGAGUUCCUCCAGAGUCUACGCUACUUCCGGAUUUUCAUUGCCUUAUGGAACAUAUUCAUGAUGUUUUGCAUGAUUCUGACCUUACUCAUGAACACUGGUGCUGUGUAAACUUCAAACUUAAGAAAAAGGAGUCACAAGGACAAUUUGGAGAUGAACCUCGUGGACCAACUACAGGUGACAACAUCAGAGAGUUCCUCCAGAGUCUACGCUACUUCCGGAUUUUCAUUGCCUUAUGGAACAUAUUCAUGAUGUUUUGCAUGAUUCUGACCUUACUCAUGAACACUGGUGCUGUGUAAACUUCAAACUUAAGAAAAAGGAGUCACAAGGACAAUUUGGAGAUGAACCUCGUGGACCAACUACAGGUGACAACAUCAGAGAGUUCCUCCAGAGUCUACGCUACUUCCGGAUUUUCAUUGCCUUAUGGAACAUAUUCAUGAUGUUUUGCAUGAUUCUGACCUUACUCAUGAACACUGGUGCUGUGUAAACUUCAAACUUAAGAAAAAGGAGUCACAAGGACAAUUUGGAGAUGAACCUCGUGGACCAACUACAGGUGACAACAUCAGAGAGUUCCUCCAGAGUCUACGCUACUUCCGGAUUUUCAUUGCCUUAUGGAACAUAUUCAUGAUGUUUUGCAUGAUUCUGACCUUACUCAUGAACACUGGUGCUGUGUAAACUUCAAACUUAAGAAAAAGGAGUCACAAGGACAAUUUGGAGAUGAACCUCGUGGACCAACUACAGGUGACAACAUCAGAGAGUUCCUCCAGAGUCUACGCUACUUCCGGAUUUUCAUUGCCUUAUGGAACAUAUUCAUGAUGUUUUGCAUGAUUCUGACCUUACUCAUGAACACUGGUGCUGUGUAAACUUCAAACUUAAGAAAAAGGAGUCACAAGGACAAUUUGGAGAUGAACCUCGUGGACCAACUACAGGUGACAACAUCAGAGAGUUCCUCCAGAGUCUACGCUACUUCCGGAUUUUCAUUGCCUUAUGGAACAUAUUCAUGAUGUUUUGCAUGAUUCUAUUGUUUGGAUAGUGAUCAACUUCGUUUUUGGAUUGGGGGCCCCUGCACAAAAAAAAUAACUUUUUUGAGUUGAGAUUCAUGUCGGAUCCUGUGACCUGCGACCAUUAUGUGCAAUAUCGCAUUAUUUUUGCGCUAGUUAGUUGUACCUGCAUCAAAACUACAGUAUUUUAUCUUCAUAGCAUUUAGAAAUAGGGAGCCAAUUGGUUUUUCAGCCCUUUUAUUUCCAUGACUGACCUAAACUGCUUCUCAUGGUUCUCUCGUCACACUGCAGCGGAUAUAUGGUUAGCAAUAUAUUUGGAACAUCGAAUCGCAGUACAUAUUGUAUCGGCAUCUAAGUAUCGUGAUAAUAUCGUAUCAUGAGGUCCCUGGCAAUUCCCAGCCCUAUUGCUAACCUGUUAUCUUCAGUCCUCAUUUUCUUCUAAAACUUGUGAACAGAAUGAGAACCAUUUGACAUGUUUGAUGUUUGUCUUACUAAGGCCUUCUGAUGUUAAGAGCAUUCAGACUUAAUUGUAUCAUUGCUUUGUUGCAUACUUUUGUCUAUGAUCUAGUUUUGUAUAAUAAAUCUUUACUCUAAAAUGCA